CUGGGAGCGGGAGGGAGUUAAUACCAUCAGUUUGUUAAUGAGUUUCAGAAACUCAUGUGUUGUUGUCUAUUAGACAAAUCUAUCUCUACUGUUUAUUUCCUGUAUAAUAAAAUAAAAUGAAAUAAUAAACCAUGUUCCAGGAAGUCACGUGGUUUAUAUUAUUUGUGAGUUAGGUGUGGACUCUGGAGUCUGAUAUUAUAGCAGCUGUUGUUUAGCAGAGAGAGAGAGUCUGACCUCAGCCUGAACCUCUGAUUGGUCGGCUGCAGUUUCUUUAUAAGGAGGUCAUCUGGUGCUCAGAGGAGGAGACAGAGCUGCAGGACUGGACUUCGUACAGGAGAUAAAUGUCCAACGUCUGUUUAAUCUGAAACAGACUGAGCUAUGGGAAACGCCUUCACCCUGUUCAACGAGACGCCCUACACCUGGGAAUACUGCACUGAGUUGAGAGGCGACGGUAUUCGGACGCAGUGUGGCACCAUCUCAGAAAAGCGUUCACAGCGCAUUCAGCCUCACGACGGUGUGGUCUCCCUCCGCUAUGGAGACCGCAGGGAAUGGGACC